rnacentral:lncRNA from 1 species
AAACAAUUUUCAUGUCAUUUGAAGCUUAAUUUCAUUAGCAAAUAAAAACUGUACAUCCACUGUGCCUGAUGUUCCAUCCUGAACACCUUGUUUUGUCUCAGCCUCCUGAGUAGCUGGGGCUAUAGGUAUGUGCCACCAUGCCCGGAGAUUUUUUUUUUUUUUUUGAGACAGGGUCUCAUUCUGUCACCCAGGCUGGAGUGCAGUGGUGCGAUCUUGGCUCACUGCAACCUCUGCCUCCCGGGUUCAAGUGAUUCUCCUGCCUCAGCCUCCCAAGUAGUUGGGAUUACAGGCACCUGCCACUGUGCCUGGCUAAUUUUUGUAUUUUUAGUAGAGACGGGGUUUCACCAUGUUGGCCAGGCUGGUCUCAAAUUCCUGACCUCAGGUGAUCCGCCCAUCUCAGCCUCCCAAAGUGCUGGGAUUACAGGCAUGAGCCACUGCUCCCAGAAUGGGAAUGGUUUCUUGCCAUCCUCAGACAGAGUUGCCUCAUCUUGAUGACAGUGGUAGGCUAUUAAUUAUCAGGUUGGGUGACUGGGAAAAGCCCAGAAUCUUCUCAGAAUUAGCCUUCUGGAAGUGUCCUUCCCCUGUGAAUGCGCCACUUCACCACAUAAUAUUCACUUAUAACUGGCAGGAAAUCCAAAUGUACAGAUUUUCUUAAACCUUGGCCUGUCACUUUAGAGAGAAGUGAGCAGAAUUAACUUUUUUUUUUUUUUUUUUUUUUUGGAGACAGUCUUGCUCUGUUGCCCAGGCUGGAGUACAAUGGCAUGAUCUUGGCUCACUGCAACCUCCACCUCCUGAGUUCAAGUGAUUCUCCUGUCUUAGCCUCCCAAGUAGCUGGGAUUACAGGCAUGCACCACCA